UCCCCACCCUCCUCCCCUGUUUGCCCCAUUUCCUCCGUUAUUCCCUUGGUAGUUAGGAGAAUAAUUCUAGAACAUCGUAAAGAAACGUGAUUAGUCGUCGAUCAUACCUUUGCAUCAUCCUGUUAAAUGGUGCGAUGGGCGUAUACUUCAAUCUCUGUUACUCGGUUUCUUAUGAACCUUUUGAUCGAAAUGAAAUUCGUUUAAUUCGAAUAUCGUCAAGAAAGAUCCAUUUUCGAACAAUGAAAUGUUUCUAGAUUCAUUGAUCGAUCGUUCCAUCAUUUUCAGGGAUAACCAUUAACAUGGAAAUAUUAAAAUCUUACCCGUUGCUGAUUGUACUGCGACCCGUAACUGUUGUACUGUGGAUUGUGGUAAUUGUUUCGCCCGUACUGUUGGGCGUUGUAAUUAUUUCUUUGCUGGUACUCCGAAUACUGUUGAUAAUUAUGGGGCGUGCCGUAACCCCUCGCCCAUGGACCAGGCAUCAUCGCAAACUGGCUGGAUCCUGCACUCUCGUAUCUUCCUUGAUAGUCUGUACUCCGGUCAAAACGCACAGAAUUUCUACGAAAUGGACAUCGAGCAACUUCGAAACUCCCGAUUGCUUCAGUCAAUGAACCUGUGCGUCGACAGGAAAGCGUAACCAUACAAAUAAAUCCAUAUCGAGCAUCUUCGUCUAUCAUCGACACGGAAAACAAAAGAGGAAACGUACGCUCCUGACAGAGGCACGAUAUUCGCGUAGGUGAAAGGGUCCGGAGCGUGGCGGCGCGUGUCCCAUGUUCCCUCGAAUAAUAUGUAAACGCGCGUGCAUAGCCACGGCUAACACGGAAGGCAAGAACAGAACGGCGAGGGCUAAGUAUUCGUCAGCAUCGCGAAACGUCAUAAUGGAGGCUCGAUGCUAAUAACGGAUUUUCGAAAGGGCAAUGCGCUCGGUGUAGGCGCGUGCCUCGCCCUGGCGAGUGCAUCAGCGUACAGGAAAAUCAGGCACGCACGCUGCAUCGUAUACCAGAGUGAAUGAGUAGCAGAGCGAGUGAAGAAAAAGAGAAGGAAGGAUAGGCCCCGGUUAUACGCGAAUCGUGUCGUUUCAACCGUCUGUUCACGGCAGGAAGCCGUCGAAUCCUCGCGCUGUUGCACGCCCACGUAAACACGACUGCCACCGAGAGACAGGAAAAAUUGAAGCCCCGGAAACGUGGUUCGAUGGGCCCCCACGAUAAUCCUCACCCUCGCCGAAAAAAGAGCCAAGGGGGAGGAGGGUUUAACAGUUUACACGUCGGAUCAUCCCUCGUUAUUGUUGCGUUUAUGAUAAUAGCAGCCGACUAGCACGCAUGCAGGCCCCGGCUAACCGCUUCAACCCUAUCCCGAGGGUCGCGAUCGUUGCCACGCUCAG
rnacentral:misc_RNA from 1 species